AACUGCAGUAGCCUCGAGAGACUACUAGGUAUAGCUGUUAUUCCUGUCUUUUCACUUACUGCUUUACCCACUUACUAACCUAACCAGUAAGUCAGAAGACAGGAACAGAAAACGCUAGCUGUCGAGAGACUACAGCCACAGUUGUAGCUAGCUAGUUAGAUGCUAUUCACAGUAACUAUGAAUAAAGCAAAGUAGUCAGAACUCAAAUCAAGUUACAAUAUCGUCGGAGACGUCGAUGAGUGGAUCAACUUACCAAUGCUAGCUAGUUCUACAACUACAAGGUAGCUAGCUCGAGCAGGCUUACCUCUAUGGAUGGUGGAUUUCUGUGGACUAGGUCCAGGACAGAAGCAGAACCGUUUUUUUUGUUUGGAGACUGACUGGUCAAAUCAUCUUCGUCACCAUAUUUGACAACCAGAGAGUGAGCAUCCUUCAUGGAAGGGAAGUAGGCCACUGACUCCAGUCCCAGACACCUUCACUUGCCUCUUGUAAACAGCCGGAUGCACAACAACCUCGGAGGCGAAAUUGGCUACCACUUUCCCACCAUACUUCAGCCGUAGCGUGUACACACCAGCGAUGAGGAGCAGAUAUACCACCCUAUAGGAACUAUCUUGUACAAGUUCCAUCCUCAUUAUCGGAACACUUUAUUUUCGUCGGGCUGGGGCCGUCUACUGUCACCUUGAGCCGAUGGCUGCCGGAGCUGUUUAUGUCUAUGGUGAACUCUGCUAGGGUUCCCACGAAACCACCCUUGACCUAAAAAAAGGAUGAAAGCAUCAAAUGUUAUCAUAAAAGCUGUUAGUAUAUACUUUAAAUGAAGAGUAAUGCAAUGUCUCUGGAUGUAGUGGACAUCAUACAUUGGAGGCAUUAGCUGACCAGUCUGCCGGGCCGGUUACAUGCAAAUCAAGCUUGUACAACAAAUCAGUGCUGUCUGAAAAUCCCUGGUCCGUCUCUCCUGCAGUACAGCAUGCAAUACAAUUAGUAUGAGAAUGAAGAUAGAGAGUUUAUGUGUAAAAUCAGCUCACCAGGCUUCCCUGGCCCUUUAGCUGGAAUGUUUGAGCAGUUUAAUUAUGGUUCUAUUCUAACUCUGUCAGGGGUCACCUAAAAUAGACAACAAUUUCAGACAAAGACAAAUAAAUAUAUAUAUUUGUCUUGUUGAAUGGUUCAUAUUUUAAUCAUUCUAUUUUUACUUACUUUGAAAGGACUGCCAGGGACACUGACCCCUCCUCCAAAUCACACAGAUAGCAUGUUUGGCCAGAGUGGUUGGAGUGUAGUAGCAUGUAUAGAGGCUCCGCUCUUUACGAACCACCUCCACAUUGACUGGGACUUCAUCAAUGGGUUAGAGGAAUUAUAUACACAUAGAAUAAGUCCUACUUUAAGGCCAUAUACAACAGUAAUAACUGUAGUGAAUACUAAUGUACAUCAUAUCUAGCACAGUUCAUUAUGGCAAAGAACUUUAGUAAAGUGGGACCGGAGUGCCAAGUCUAGGUCCAAGAGGCUUCUAAACAGCUUCUACCCCCAAGCCAUAAGACUCCUGAACACCUAAUCAAAUGGCUACCCAGACUAUUUGCAGAUGCGAAUUCUGGAGAAGUGCAGAAUGUUCCAAAUACAUGGACAAGCACAGAAUGACCCAAAUACAUGGACAAGCGCAGAAUGACCCAAAUACAUGGACAAGCGCAGAAUGUUCCAAAUGCUAAAUAGAGCAGAACAAAUGGACCCAGUAACUGCAGGGAGGCACUUGUCUUGUGUGGGUAGCAUUUAUUUUUAUUCAGGCAUUUGUGGGACAUGAAAGGACUGUCCUCGAUCUCAUCUUCAUCACAGGUCACAUGCACAGCGUAUUGCCCAGGAUUUGUCCAUAGAACCUCAAAACACAAAUCACCUUUGUGUAAAAACAAGGCUAGCCAGAUUGCCUGUUAUGAGCGCUGAUUAACAUAAGAUGGGUAGAGCAGUGACAAACCUGAUUGGGGAUUGAGGGGGGCUCCAGGUUUCAGUUGAGCUUUGGGGAACAUGGAGAGGUAAGUCAUGAUGGACUGCUCAUCCACACCAGGGUCGAUGAACUCCUCUGGGGCAAUGACCUGGAUGCAAAAGAGAAACAAUGGUUAUGUAAAUGUUUGUAUGUCCUUUCCUGAUGAUUAUGCUAGCACCAAUUAUUCCCCAAAGUGGCCUCUUCAGGUCACAUGCAAAGUGACAUCGCCCCUACAAGCUAAAACAACGUGCAUGAUGUAAAUCUGCUACAUUUCAUGUCUUCCUUUCACUAUGAGCAAAGGACUCUACUUCCUGAAAGCUUUGUUUGUGUGGUGAAUUCUGUAAUGAGUGAUGAUGUCUAGGCCAAAAGAUUACCCCCCAGAGGCUGUUCCGAGAAGUUAAAACCUAAAAUGAAAUCUGUACAAAUUCCUAGAGUUACACCAAUGUUUACCAAUGUAAUGGGAACCAUAUGGGAUCUUGAGGGGUGCUGACCACUCUCAUAACAAAUCAGGGCACAUACGUUUUGAAGUGUCAGCCCUGUUCCCCUGUGAUUUAGGGGUUUAUUCAGUAUGUAAUAUGUGGAAACCACAAGAGUGUUGAUAGUCCAAGGACUCACCUGUGGCACUCCCAUCCACUCGUCAGCCUGCUGCUUGGCCACUCUGGUAUCGUCUACUUGCUGUACCUCGUCCCAGCUCUCCCAGUCUGGACACAGGCAUGCAGGCAGGGAGAAAGACAGAGUAUCAAAGAUCAGGUUAUAGACUAAAUAAGCUAUAGGAAGUAUGCCUUACCCAGUAACAACAAAGCUGGAUGUUGUUUUCAUAAAUCCAGUUAUAGUUCACCUGGGGCCAGUCCGUCCACCAGUGUCCCAAGAGCCAUGCCAUUCUGCCAGUCCUGGCUGAAGUUGGUGAUAGGCAGUUCGGGCACCUUGUCCAGGAUCCACCCAGCAGCCGUAGCUCAGUGUUCUGUUUCUUGGUCUUGUCCUGGCCGUCGUCUUCCAGUAAACGAGAAGAGAUGGAGUAGUGUAGGAUCUACACCAACCCCAAAAUCAGCUUCAUAUUCCCGUCCACGAUGGCCUUACUGUCUGUUGAGGCAGCACCAUAUUAUACCCACAAGAAUGGAUGGGAGAACCAGUGUUAUCUAACACAAACAGUAUCACACAUCUCCCAGGGUAAAUCAAACAGUCCUAUAGUCUUCACUUUUAUAAUAUAACAAAUUGUGGCAACACGUGCAAUGACAUGACUGUACACAGUAACUGUGAGGUACAUUAAACAAAGACUGAACUGUAUCAUAGAAAACUGGCCAAAUUGUAUACUGUAUAAUUACAAGUAAUGGUACCUAGAAGUAAAAAUAAAUAUGGUAUCUGCACAACGCAACCCCAUGCAACCUCAUGUAAAGUGUAACCAAAGAAGUGUGACUUUAUCUUCUUCCUUAUCUUGGCCUGGCUGCCAGACUGAAAUUGAUCCCCGAGUAUUUAACUUACCUAUGGACACCAGCUUGACAUUCUCCUGUUCCAGAAACUCGAGCGCAACAGAGACAUUAUCUAGCCUCAUCUGUCUGAAUGUGGGCCUGGUGUUGUACUUCCUGAACAUCUUCUUAUGGCUCAAGACCUCCAGUAGGGUGAUGAGAGUCAGCCUGUCGUUUAGGUCAAACUGAAGGUCACCUAUGAACCUGUUUACACAUUUCAGGUGCUCGUUGCACCACCGUGUGAUGGUGUUCUUCUGGAUAUUCUUCAAUGGUGCAUCAUCUGCCAGGUUACACUCAGCGGCACACAUACUGUGUUCAGCCAGAGAGACCUCGCUCUUGGUAAAUGGCAUACUGUAAUAUACUAACGUUGCUUGUUCCUUGUUGCUUUUUUCCCCUUCCUCUGUUGUUUAGAAUCAGAUCUGUCUGUCUCCCCAAGGUGCGGUGGAGCUUUUAAAGGAGGGCGAGGUGUAGAAUAUGAGAAGCGAUAACCUCACAGAUUUUAGGAGUUUUUGCUGGAGGGGAGGGACAAAAUAUUCCCUCUCCAUGUUAUCUUAACACAAAACAUUGUCCAAACUGUUAGCAUAGAAAGAAGUGCAUCAGACACUAGAUUUCAUGACCUCACUAGGAUGUGUAUUGAGGGUUAUUGGAUGGAGGUCAGUAAGACUACCCCUCAGAUGUAAAGCUGAUCCCCAUCUGGGGGCCCUAUGUGUAACAUCUGCUUCCAACUCACACCCUCAAACACAGCGCACUUUCCAGCCCACUUUCCAGCUCACACUCUCAAACACCUAG